UAGGGAUUAGCCAAGUGGUAAGGCACCAGGUUCUGGUCCUGGCAUCGGGGGUUCGAAUCCCUCAUCCCUAGCCA
rnacentral:tRNA from 1 species